GGGGGGGGCAAGCGUUGUUCGGAAUUACUGGGCGUAAAGGGCUUGUAGGCGGCCAACUAAGUCAGACGUGAAAUCCCUCGGCUUAACCGGGGAAUGGCGUCUGAUACUGGAUGGCUUGAGUUCGGGAGAGGGAUGCGGAAUUCCAGGUGUAGCGGUGAAAUGCGUAGAUAUCUGGAGGAACACCGGUGGCGAAGGCGACAUCCUGGACCGACACUGACGCUGAUAAGCGAAAGCCAGGGGAGCAAACGGGAUUAGAUACCCCGGUAGUCCUGGCCCUAAACGAUGAAUGCUUGGUGUGACGGGUAUCGAUCCCUGUCGUGCCGAAGCUAACGCAUUAAGCAUUCCGCCUGGGGAGUACGGUCGCAAGGCUG
rnacentral:rRNA from 1 species